UACGGUUAAAGUAGUAAGGGCGCAGGGUGGAUGCCUUGGCACUAAGAGCCGAUGAAAGACGUGAUAAGCUGCGAAAAGCUUCGGGGAGGAGCACAUAUCCAAUGAUCCGGAGAUAUCUGAAUGGGGAAACCCGGCAGAGGAAACCUCUGUCAGCGUGCAGUGAAUACAUAGCUGUACGUGGGGAACCCGGGGAACUGAAACAUCUAAGUACCCGGAGGAAGAGAAAGAAAAUUUAUCGAUUUCCAAAGUAGCGGCGAGCGAAAUGGAAAGAGCCCAAACCGUGAUGCGUGCAUCGCGGGGUUCGGACUGCGUUGUGGCAGACGUAAGAUAGGAGAACGGACUGGGAAGUCCGGCCGGAGAGAGUGAAAGCCUCGUAUCCGAAAUCCCAAGUCGCCUAGCAGGAUCCAGAGUAGGACGAGACACGAGAAACCUUGUCUGAACGAGCGGGGACCACCCCGUAAGGCUAAAUACUUCUUAGUGACCGAUAGCGCAUAGUACUGUGAAGGAAAGGUGAAAAGUACCCCGGGAGGGGAGUGAAAGAGAACCUGAAACCCUGUGUCUACAAGCUGUGGGACCUCUUUAUAUGAGGGACUGCGUACUUUUUGUAGAACGGUCCGGCGAGUUGUGCGUACUGGCGAGGUUAAGGACUUAAGGUCUGGAGCCGAAGUGAAAGCAAGCGUUAAUAGCGCGUCAAGUCAGUGAGUGCAGACCCGAAACCGGGUGACCUAUCCAUGUCCAGGUUGAAGCUUCCGUAAGAGGAAGUGGAGGACCGAACCCACAUCCGUUGAAAAGGGUGGGGAUGAGGUGUGGAUAGCGGAGAAAUUCCAAUCGAACCCGGAGAUAGCUGGUUCUCCUCGAAAUAGCUUUAGGGCUAGCCUCAUGAGAGUCUUAUGGAGGUAGAGCACUGAAUUGCCUAGGGGGCGUCAAAGCUUACCAAAGCAUAUCAAACUCCGAAUGCCAUCAAGAUGAUUCAUGGGAGUCAGACCAUACGAGAUAAGUUGGAUGGUCAAAAGGGAAAGAGCCCAGACCUACAGCUAAGGUCCCAAAGUACGUGUUAAGUGGAAAAGGAUGUGGGGAUUCUAAGACAACUAGGACGUUGGCUUAGAAGCAGCCAUUCAUUGAAAGAGUGCGUAAUAGCUCACUAGUCGAGAGUCCCUGCGCCGAAAAUGUCCGGGGCUGAAACACGACACCGAAGCUUAGGAAUGUGUAAACAUUGGUAGAGGAGCAUUGCUAGCGGGAUGAAGCCAUACCGUAAGGAGUGGUGGACUGCUAGGAAGAGAGAAUGCCGGAAUGAGUAGCGAGAUGAAGGUGAGAAUCCUUCAGGCCGAAUAUCUAAGGUUUCCAGAGUAAAGCUGAUCUGCUCUGGGUAAGUCGGGACCUAAGGCGAGGUCGAAAGACGUAGUCGAUGGAUAACAGGUUGAAAUUCCUGUACCGCAUAUAAACAGAACUGUGGGGACACAGACAGGGAAUGGAAUCCGGGAAUGGAUAUCCCGGUGCAAGCGAGGUAGGAGUGCUGUUGGCAAAUCCGCAGCACGAUCUGAAGACGUGACGCGUACCGAACAUAAGUAGGGAAGUCCAGGCCCCUGGCUGUCAAGAAAAGCCGCUAUUGUUUUAUAUGUGCCCGUACCGCAAACCGACACAGGUGGAUGAGGAGAGAAUCCUAAGGCCGACGGGAGAAGUAUUGUUAAGGAACUCGGCAAAAUGACUCCGUAACUUCGGGAGAAGGAGUGCCAUGAGAGUGGCCGCAGAGAAAUGGCCCAAGCAACUGUUUAGCAAAAACACAGGUCUAUGCAAAACCGCAAGGUGAAGUAUAUGGGCUGACGCCUGCCCGGUGCUGGAAGGUUAAGGGGAGAGGUUAGCGCAAGCGAAGCUUUGAACUUAAGCCCCAGUAAACGGCGGCCGUAACUAUAACGGUCCUAAGGUAGCGAAAUUCCUUGUCGGGUAAGUUCCGACCCGCACGAAAGGCGUAAUGAUUUGGGCACUGUCUCAACGAUACACCCGGUGAAAUUGAAAUACCAGUGAAGAUGCUGGUUACCUGCGCCAGGACGGAAAGACCCCAUGGAGCUUUACUCCAGUUUGAUACUGGGAUUCGGCAUGGUAUG
rnacentral:rRNA from 1 species